GACGUAGGUGACGACCGUUAUCCGGAAUUAUUGGGCGUAAAGGGUGCGUAGAUGGCCUGAUAAGUUAGCAGUGGGAAAUCGAGGCUCAACCUCGUGGAAGCUGGUAAUACUGUCAGGCUCGAGUGCAGGAGAGGUUAACGGAACUCCAUGUGGAGCGGUAAAAUGUGUAGAUAUAUGGAAGAACACCAAUAACGGCGAAGGCAGUUAACUAUUCUGUUACUGACAUUGAGGCACGAAAGCGUGGGGAGCAAAACGG
rnacentral:rRNA from 1 species